rnacentral:rRNA from 1 species
UACAGAGGUCCCAAGCGUUGUUCGGAUUCACUGGGCGUAAAGGGUGCGUAGGUGGUCGGGUAAGUCUGAUGUGAAAUCUCCGAGCUUAACUCGGAAAUGGCAUUGGAUACUAUUCGGCUAGAGGAGUGGAGGGAGGACUGGAAUACUUGGUGUAGCAGUGAAAUGCGUAGAUAUCAAGUGGAACACCAGUGGCGAAGGCGAGUCCCUGGACACUUCCUGACACUGAGGCACGAAAGCUAGGGGAGCAAACAGG